rnacentral:misc_RNA from 1 species
CGUGGCAACAUUAGAUACAUUCCUGAAUUUUAUGUUUCAUGCACGCUGGUGAAUAGAGUUCGUCAUGAAAAUAAAAACAUAAAUGAUAAUUUUUUUCGAUAUUGAUAUUAUAGAAUUAGUAAUUACAUCGUUGGGUUAUGUGCCUAGAGUAUAAGAUUUGAAUUUUUCUAAAACAAAAAUAUAAUAUUGAGCUGGUGUUGGAAUGUGUUGUGUUGACACUUGAAAGUGUUUGUUUGGAAGAAGCAUCUUGAAUUAUAUAUUUCUGGCUGAAGAAUGGCACUGGGAGGAUCGACCUACUUGAAAAGCACCACAAUGCUGGAGCAACUCUUGGAGGAAAUUAAUUUUCAAAGGACGAAGGAGAUGCGUCAGCUGAUGAAGGAUGAUUGUGGUUUCGUAGUGCUACAAGGAACGACAUAUUGGACAGAUCUGUUCGUGCGGCACUUUCUGUUUCAAGAGGAGCAGUCGAUAGACUGUGACGAUUUGUUGUUUUUUGUAAGAAAACGCCACGUGAAGGGCUCCUCGCGCUACCUGCCAAAGUACGAGACCGACGUCGAGGUGUUCCGGAAGGAUUCCAAGAAGCUGCCCAUCGGAGACCCAGAGAUAGACUGGGAGGAGACGGUCUACCUUAAUCUGAUCGUGCAUCAGUUUGACUACACGCUAACGCUGGCCAUCUGCACGCGGACCAGUCCCAAGGAGCUGCAGGUCCUCAAGCGGCACUCGCAAAAGGUGUACGCGUCGCCGAGCCGCCGCAAGAUGGACACGAAGGGCGAGGGCGAGGAGAUGACCUACCCCCACAUUUGCUUCAUGGUGGACAACUUCGACGAGGUGUUCUGCGACAUAGUGGUGCGCGACGGCGAGAUGGUGUGCGUGGAGCUGGUGGCGCGCGGCCGGGGCUGCGCCGCGCAGGCCGUCAUCUUCCUCGGCUCCAUCCGCUACGACAUCCUCACCAGGGUCUACGACUCCAGGCAAACGUCGCUGUCGACGAAGGUGGCGCAGCGCAUGUCGUUCGGGCUGCUGGGCGGCAAGACGGCGGCGCGUUGCGAGUUCGUGCGCAUGAAGGGGCCCAGCGGCAAGGGCCACGCCGAGAUGGCGGUGUCGCGGCCCCACGCCACCGGCCUCGACACGCCCUCCUCCGAGCCCGGCCUGCCCGCCACCGACAUGUGGGACAGCGACUGGGACGACGACCCCGAGGAGAUGUUCAUGUACAGGCACCAGCGCCGGCUGAGUGACCCGAGCGCGAACAUCAACAACUUCGUCCGCGGCGGGUGGCGCACGCGGGACUCGCGCGACAAGAGCCGCUCCGAGAAUGAGGGGCUGGACUCACUCGUCAACGGCAUCGCUGAAGUGGAGGCCGGUGACCUGCGCGACGGGCGGCGCGCGGACGUGUCGUCGCCGGCGUGCCUGGGCGCGGUGUCGCGGCGCGUGGCGGCGCAGCGCUCGGCGUCGGCGGACGCGUCGCAGCCGCCGCGGCGCCGCACGCCGGACGGCACGGCCGUGUACUACUGGUGCGACCUGCCGCGCCGCCACGCCGAGCUGGACGACGGCGCGUACAACCCGCUGUGGGCGACGCGCGGCUUCACGCAGACCUUCCACCUGUGGAAGGAGGGCAAGCGCCAGCAGUCCACGCCGCUCAACGCCUACCUCACCUACGUCACGCUGCCCUGGUGGACCAUCGCCAAAGACAUCCUGGACCACCGCGAGGAGCCGGUGCUGACGUUCUGAGUGUCCGACUGACCUCAACGUUUUGUACUCUGUACACACACCCUCACGACGCCGUGCGGACCCCAACCAACGCACAAACUUACUCUAAAAAUUCAUCGCCUUUAGUGUGUGUGAAUAUAAGCACACAUUAUGACUACAUAUCACAAACGUUGGCUUAGCUAUGGAUACUGUUCCUAUUACUGAAACGCUUUUACAGGAAUAUUGUUUAAUUUCAAGACUCACUCGAAUAAGCUAAUAAUAUUAAAGUUCUUGUUUGUUUGUGUGCUAGGCGUAAUGUGCCAUAUUUUUUGUACAUUCCAGAUAGAAAGGCCAGUAGGUUAUCAAACUGGCGUCUCGUGUAUGUUUGGGCGCCAUGUCUCUGUUACCAGGUAUAGUUUGUAAUGUCCUCUGAAAUUAUCCUUAAAAGACAAUUAUUAUUUUAUUUAUUUUACCACAACAAUGAACCUCGUACCUGUGUAAUCAUUGAACUUUAGAAUGAUUGACAUUCAUGCCAUGACCAGAAUAUGUGAUUACCUACUGUUAUUAAAAAAUAUUUGUGUUAAUUUGUAAGUAAAUAAGAUGAUGGAUACUAAAUUGUAUAUUAUGUGCGGCUGAUAGCCGUAACUAAUACUCUAGUCACUGUAUGUUUUCUAGUCACAGCUUAGAAUUAAGAUUAUUUAUUUUGUACACUGCCAUACUGUUCGGGGAAUGACAAAAUUAUUUGAAGUAAACUAAAAUUUGUUUGCUUGUUCAAUAAGUUGAAGCAUAAUGCUUCAGUAGACAAGUUACUUGAAUCAACUGAACAGUAGACUGUGAACGUUAUAAAACAAAUGACAUUAUUUUUGUAAUAGCUGUGAGAACUUUACGUCAUGUUAAUCGAAUUAGUUGAACAUAUUUUUGUAAUCAUUCUCACACAUGUGAAUCUCUCUCUAAAACUAUAUUCAUAAUUAAUCUACUUGUAAGUGGUACGUUAAUAAUACUGGAUUUGAAAUAAAUCAUAUGACGGAUGAUAAACUUUUGACCCAUGAGCAAUGAACAUGUUAUACAAAGUUGUCUGCAAGAAAUAGCAUAUUUUUGUAAUAAGAGUUAUAACGCAUUGUAACAUUAUGUCAUUAAGCCUUAAUUAGUGAGAGGUAUCAUUCCAGUCGCGGCAGUGUGACCUGUGCGGGGCCGGACAGUGCUGAACCGACGUGACUGACAAACAAUUGAAAUGGCAUUAGUAUUGACUGUAGAGCCCACAGACCAGUCCCGCACAUGAGCGCUGCUGUGGAACCAUAUAUUUAUAUUGUUUGAACUAUAAGCUAGUCAAGAUAUACUAAACAUGCAUAGUUUAAUAUUUGUAUGAUAUGACUGAAUUAAAUUAUUGUAACGGC